rnacentral:lncRNA from 1 species
ACACGGAAGCAACUGCAAGGACUAAGGGAGUCCGCAGCCUGGGGCAUUGGAGCCCUUCGCCAUACCCCUAGUGCGUCCUCACCCCCUCAGCCCGUGCUUCCCAGGGCGGGUAUCCUCGGAAGGCCCGGCCCUCACAGCCUUGGCAGGCCAAGGUCAGAAUGAUUGGAGUUGGGGGAUGGGACGGGGGCAUCCCUCCAGGACCAGCUCUCCAGGAGGCCCACAUUCUUUCUGCGGGAACCACUCCAAAGGGGCAUGCUGUUCCAGGCAGCCCCUCGCGCAGACACUCCGGCUUUGUCGAGAUGUGAUCUCACCAUCACCCAGGGUGGAGUGCAGUGGCGCAAUAGCUCACUACAGCCUUGAACUCACGGGCUCAAGCAGUCUUCCUGCCUCAGCCUCCUGAGUCCUGGGACCACAGGCGCACGCCACCAUGCCCUGCUAAUAUUUUUAAGUUUUUGUAGAGAUGGCGUCUUAUCAGCCGUAAUCAAGCCCCCUCUCCAGGGCCAUGGCACACAGGCUGGUCCCGGCAGACAGGCUGGCUGCUUCACCUCCCCACUGCCGUUGCCACACAACUCACUCCUGGGACAGUGCACCUCCUCCACACCGAGACAUGGAGUCCCUGUCCCAAAGCCACACCUGGCUGCCAGGUGUCCCAAGCCACCUCUCUGGACUUGGAAGGAAAUGGGGACACUGUCUCAGGUUGGAACCUGUAAGGGGCUGACUUGUGUCCCCACUAAUUCACAGGUUGAAGCCUGAACCCUCAGGACCUCAGAAUGUGACUGUGUUUGGAGAUAGCAUCUUUAAGGAGGGAGUUGAGGUCACUGGGGUGGGCCCUAAUCCAGUCUGACUGGUGUCUUUAUACAAGGAGAUGAUUAGGACAGAGACGUGCAUAGAGAGAUGAUGCCAUGAGGACGCGGGGAGGAGACGGCAUCUUCAGGCCUAGGAGAGAGGCUCAGGAGGAACCAGGCCUGCCCGCACCUUGGCCUCAGCCACCCAGCCUCCAGGACUAGCAGACUGGGAGCUAACAGCCCUUUCCCGUUGGCUGCCUCUUCCCCAAGCCCAGCGCCCCCUGCCCAUGCCUGUCAGAGCUCACAUCCCACCCUGCCUGCCAAGCCUACUGGCUCACCUGCAGCAUCUGGAGGGGCCCCUGUGUGCUCCGCUCCUCCAGCUGCAGCAGCAGCAGCUCCAGAGAGUGACCCUGCCGGUCCAGGCAGGCCACGCUCUCCCGGAGCCUGCUGGCAGUCUCCUCUUCUUCCGUCUCCAGAGCCUGGAGGAGCCUCUGCUCUUCUUCCACCAGGCAUUAGGAUUAAGGUUAACUAAAGGCCAUUGAGAACCCGCAGAAGCAGGAAAACCUGUUUGCCUCCCCCAUUAGCUGCCUAAAAAAAUAAAGUGCCUGGCCUGGCGCGAUGACUUAUGCCUGUAAUCCCAGCACUUUGGGAGGCCGAGGCAGGCAGAUCACCUGAGGUCAGGAGUUCAAGACCAGCCUGACCAACAUGGUGAAACCCCAUCUCUACUAAAAGUACAAAAGUUAGUCGGGCAUGGUGGUGGGCACCUAUAGUCCCAGCUGCUUGGGAGGCUGAGGCAGAAGAAUUGCUUGAACCCGGGAGGCAGAGGUUGCAGUGAACUGACACCGCACCAUUGGAUUCCAGCCUGGGCAACAAGAGUGAAACUCCAUCUCAAAAAAAAAAAAAAAAAAAAUUAAAAAGUGCCCUUUCAUGAAGGAAUUUCCAGUGGUCAAGGCAUCUAUACCAGAAAGAGAGUUCCAAAAACAACUCUUCACCUGAGACACUUGUUUAAAUACUUAACCAACAUCACCUGCCUCCCCAGCCCAGAGGCCCCCAAGCCCUAUUCCUUUGUGGUGCUGACCUACGCCCCUGCCCUCUGGCUGCCUCCUUUGUGGUAUUGAGCCCCCACCUUCUGGCUGCCUCCUUUGUGGUACUGAGCCCCCGCCCUCUGGCUGCCUCCUUUGUGGUACUGAGCCCCUACCCUCUGGCUGCCUCUUUGAGUCUGAUUUUUGAGGCCCCUUCUCUCCACCCUAUGUGUGCAUCUGUAAUUUAAAAUUGCCUUUUUAUCUUUUUCUCUGCUGUUCAUCUGUCUUAAGUCAGUUUCAUUCUGAGGCCAGCCACAGAACCUAGAAGGGUAGAGGCAACUUUCUUCUUUUCCUGCCACUGCGGCAGCAUAUCCCCACGGGCAGACACAGACGUGGAAAUGCAGGAAGAUGGAGCAGCAGCAGGAAAGGGACUGGACAGCCCUGGGCACCCACCUGCCACUCGGCUAAGCUCUGCUCCUCCCUGGCCUGCAGAUUCCCUGUCCUGGUGAUCUGCUCCCGAAGGUACUCCAUGUCCUCCUCCAGCUUCAACUGUGGGACACACAAACCGCAGGAUUUGGGAUCAGCGAUCCCCCUACCUCCUGCCUAGAGUCCAGUUGUGCUCGCUGAAACUGCACCCACCCCAGAGACCCUCCUCAGGAGGGGCAGGGGAUCAAAAUACGUCACCCAGAAUGUGCCACCUUGGAUUAUUUUGAGCUGAAGGCACUUAAAAAAGGGCAGGUGUAAGAAUUGCUGUGACCCUCGGCCUUCCUAAGAGCAGAAGGCACAGCCACCAUGCCAGAGAGGACUGCCCUAGGCCAGGAGGAAAGCCAUGUUCUUACCAAGGGCGGGAAAGCCGAAACCAGAGAAAUCUGUGCAAAGGGACCCUGCUAAACUAACCCUCAUCCUCCUCAGGUACAUGUUUGGCUCUAACAUGCUUCCAUGGGCCUCUGGCUCCUUGGGAGCGACUCCUGGGUCAUGGAAAGCUUACAGGGAAUGAAUUUCAGUGCUUUGCUUCUGCUUAUCUGUCUCAAAUCAGUUUGGUUCUCAGAGCCACCCAAAAUACUCUGAGAGGAGAGGUAAGAUUUUGCAAUGCCUGCAUCAUACAGUGUAGGCCCACAUUGUCCCCAGGGACACCCCUACCCAGCCACAGGCCACCUUGUCCCCUGGAUGCCUCCUCCCCAGCCCCUGACUCGGGCCACUUUGUCCCUGGACACCUCCUCCCUCCCCCAUGAUCUGGGUCACCUUGUCCCCCUGGAUGCCUCCUCCCCGGCCCCUUGACCUGGGCCCCGAUGUGGCCUACCUUGUACCCCUGCACUGCCUCCUCGGCGGGCAGCACCCUGUGCAGCCGGUGCUCCCGGGACUCCCUGCACACCACACAGAUGGGGC